rnacentral:rRNA from 1 species
GAUGAACGCUGGCGGCGUGCUUAACACAUGCAAGUCGAACGAAGCGCUUUAACGGAACUCUUCGGAGGGAAGUUAUUGUGACUGAGUGGCGGACGGGUGAGUAACGCGUGGGUAACCUGCCUUACACAGGGGGAUAACAGUUAGAAAUGACUGCUAAUACCGCAUAACCCGCUAGUACCGCAUGGUACAGACGGAAAAGAUUUAUCGGUGUAAGAUGGACCCGCGUCUGAUUAGCUGGUUGGUGAGGUAACGGCUCACCAAGGCGACGAUCAGUAGCCGGCUUGAGAGAGUGGACGGCCACAUUGGGACUGAGACACGGCCCAGACUCCUACGGGAGGCAGCAGUGGGGAAUAUUGCACAAUGGGGGAAACCCUGAUGCAGCGACGCCGCGUGAGUGAAGAAGUAUUUCGGUAUGUAAAGCUCUAUCAGCAGGGAAGAAAAUGACAGUACCUGACUAAGAAGCCCCGGCUAACUACGUGCCAGCAGCCGCCGUAAGAC